CAGGGAUUGCCUCAGUAACGGCGAGUGAAGUGGCAUAAGCUCAAAUUUGAAAUCUGGCCCCUUCGGGGUCCGAGUUGUAAUUUGUAGAGGAUGUUUCGGGUGCGGCGCCGGUCUAAGUCCCUUGGAACAGGGCGUCAUAGAGGGUGAGAAUCCCGUAUGUGACCGGCGACCAACCCCAUGUGAAGCUCCUUCGACGAGUCGAGUUGUUUGGGAAUGCAGCUCAAAAUGGGAGGUAAAUUUCUUCUAAAGCUAAAUACCGGCCAGAGACCGAUAGCGCACAAGUAGAGUGAUCGAAAGAUGAAAAGCACUUUGGAAAGAGAGUCAAACAGUACGUGAAAUUGUUGAAAGGGAAGCGCUUGCAACCAGACCUGUCCGCGGGCGAUCAACCUCUGUUCUCAGGGGUGCACUCGUCCGCGAUCAGGCCAGCAUCGGUUCGGGCGGCCGGAUAAAGGCCUUGGGAAUGUAGCUCCUCUCGGGGAGUGUUAUAGCCCGCGGUGCAAUGCGGCCAGCCCGGACCGAGGACCGCGCUUCGGCUAGGAUGCUGGCGUAAUGGUUGUAAGCGACCCGUCUUGAAACACGGACCAAGGAGNNNNNNNNNUAUGCGAGUGUUUGGGUGUCAAGCCCAUGCGCGUAAUGAAAGUGAACGGAGGUGAGAACCCGUACGGGCGCAUCAUCGACCGAUCCAGAUGUCUUCGGAUGGAUUUGAGUACGAGCAUAACUGGUCUGACCCGAAAGAUGGUGAACUACACUUGAAUAGGGUGAAGCCAGAGGAAACUCUGGUGGAGGCUCGCAGCGGUUCUGACGUGCAAAUCGAUCGUCAAAUUUGAGUGUAGGGGCGAAAGACUAAUCGAACCAU
rnacentral:rRNA from 1 species